CCUACGGGUGGCAGCAGUGGGGAAUAUUGCACAAUGGGGGAAACGCUGAUGCAGCGACGCCGCGUGAGUGAAGAAGUAUUUCGGUAUGUAAAGCUUUAUCAGCAGGGAAGAAAAUGACGGUACCUGAUUAAGAAGCCCCGGCUAAAUACGUGCCAGCACCCGUGGUUAUGCGUAGGGAGCCAGGGUUAUCCGGAUUUACUGGGGGUAAAGGGGACGUAUACGGCAGUGCAAGUCUGAAGUGAAAGGCCGGGGGUUAAACCCGGAACUGCUUUUGAAACUGUGCAGCUAGAGUGCAGGAGAGGUAAGUGGAAUUACUAGUGUAGCGGUGAAAUGCGUAGAUAUUAGGAGGAACACCAGUGGCGAAGGCGGCUUACUGG
rnacentral:rRNA from 1 species